rnacentral:rRNA from 1 species
AACGAACGCUGGCGGCAUGCCUAACACAUGCAAGUCGAACGAUUGCCUUCGGGUGAUAGUGGCGCACGGGUGCGUAACGCGUGGGAAUCUGCCCUUAGGUUCGGAAUAACAGCUGGAAACGGCUGCUAAUACCGGAUGAUAUCGCGAGAUCAAAGAUUUAUCGCCUGAGGAUGAGCCCGCGUUGGAUUAGGUAGUUGGUGGGGUAAAGGCCUACCAAGCCGACGAUCCAUAGCUGGUCUGAGAGGAUGAUCAGCCACACUGGGACUGAGACACGGCCCAGACUCCUACGGGAGGCAGCAGUGGGGAAUAUUGGACAAUGGGCGCAAGCCUGAUCCAGCAAUGCCGCGUGAGUGAUGAAGGCCCUAGGGUUGCAAAGCUCUUUUACCCGGGAAGAUAAUGACUGUACCGGGAGAAUAAGCCCCGGCUAACUCCGUG